rnacentral:pre_miRNA from 1 species
UGGACAGAUUAUUGUAUUCGACUGUAUUCACGGCGUGAAACAGGGGAUUACAUUGUUUUUAAACGGAAAGUGAAUCAAUUAACAUAAUAGAAUCCU